CCUACGGGUGGCAGCAGUGGGGAAUCUUCCGCAAUGGACGAAAGUCUGACGGAGCAACGCCGCGUGAGUGAUGACGGCCUUCGGGUUGUAAAGCUCUGUUAAUCGGGACGAAAGGUCCUCUUGCGAAUAGUUAGAGGAAUUGACGGUACCGGAAUAGAAAGCCACGGCUAACUACGUGCCAGCAGCCGCGGUAAUACGUAGGUGGCAAGCGUUGUCCGGAAUUAUUGGGCGUAAAGCGCGCGCAGGCGGAUCAGUCAGUCUGUCUUAAAAGUUCGGGGCUUAACCCCGUGAUGGGAUGGAAACUGCUGAUCUAGAGUUUCGAGGAGGAAAGGGGAAUUCCGAGUGUAGCGGUGAAAUGCGUAGAUAUUAGGAAGAACACCAGUGGCGAAGGCGACUUUCUGGACGAAAACUGACGCUGAGGCGCGAAAGCCAGGGGAGCGAACGGGAUUAGAUACCCUAGUAGUC
rnacentral:rRNA from 1 species